GACGAACGCUGGCGGCGUGCUUAACACAUGCAAGUCGAACGGAAAGGCCCUGCUUUUGUGGGGUGCUCGAGUGGCGAACGGGUGAGUAACUCGUGAGUAACCUGCCCUUGACUUUGGGAUAACUUCAGGAAACUGGGGCUAAUACCGGAUAGGUGCUCCUGCUGCAUGGUGGGGGUUGGAAAGUUUCGGCGGUUGGGGAUGGACUCGCGGCUUAUCAGCUUGUUGGUGGGGUAGUGGCUUACCAAGGCUUGGACGGGUAGCCGGCCUGAGAGGGUGACUGGCCACAUUGGGACUGAGAUACGGCCCAGACUCCUACGGGAGGCAGCAGUGGGGAAUAUUGCACGAUGGGCGGAAGCCUGAUGCAGCAACGCCGCGUGCGGGAUGACGGCCUUCGGGUUGUAAACCGCUUUCGCCUGUGACGAAGCGUGAGUGACGGUAAUGGGUAAAGAAGCACCGGCUAACUACGUG
rnacentral:rRNA from 1 species